rnacentral:rRNA from 1 species
UACGAAGGGGGCUAGCGUUGCUCGGAAUCACUGGGCGUAAAGGGUGCGUAGGCGGGUCUUUAAGUCCGGGGUGAAAUCCUGGAGCUCAACUCCAGAACUGCCUUUGAUACUGAAGAUCUUGAGUUCGGGAGAGGUGAGUGGAACUGCGAGUGUAGAGGUGAAAUUCGUAGAUAUUCGCAAGAACACCGAUGGCGAAGGCAGCCCCCUGGGCCAACACUGACGCUCAGGCACGAAAGCGUGGGGAGCAAACAGG